GCCGCACUAGCUCAGCUGGUAGAGCAAUCGCUUCGUAAGCGAUGGGUCAGGGGUUCGAGUCCCUUGUGCGGCACCA
rnacentral:tRNA from 3 species